AACGGCCGCGGUAUUUUGACCGUGCAAAGGUAGCGCAAUCACUUGUCUUUUAAAUAAAGGCCUGUAUGAAUGGCAUAACGAGGGCUUAACUGUCUCCUUUCUCCUAUCAAUGAAAUUGAUCUCCCCGUGCAGAAGCGGGGAUUACCACAUAAGACGAGAAGACCCUAUGGAGCUUAAGCCGCAAGAACAGAACAUGUAACUUCUUUUAAUUAAAAUUCGAAACCCCUUGAAACCUGUUCUAGUGUCUUUGGUUGGGGCGACCACGGAAUAAAAAUAAACUUCCAUGAGGAAUAAAGCAUCUUUCCAGCUAAGGGUGACAACCCUAAGAACCAGAAUUUCUGACCACCUUGAUCCGGCAGAGCCGAUCAACGAACCAAGUUACCCUAGGGAUAACAGCGCAAUCCUCUUUUAGAGUCCAUAUCGACAAGAGGGUUUACGACCUCGAUGUUGGAUCAGGACAUCCUAAU
rnacentral:rRNA from 1 species